rnacentral:tRNA from 1 species
GAGAGUUUAGUUUAAUAAAAACAUUAAAAUGUCAAAUUAAAAUUACUUAGUUGUAUCUCU